rnacentral:lncRNA from 1 species
UCUUCGUUUCGACGAGGUAGAAUGGGCUUAAAUAAUAACAAAGAGACGAAUUUUGGUCCCUAAGAGACCUCAUGAUGCAGAUGUAUGUAUGUAACUGGUAACACUCUGCGGGGAUAUGCAUCCACAAAGGCAAAGAUCAGGAGGAAAUUGACAAUCCCUAUGAAUAAUUCAUUCCAUGGGGCAGAGACUCUACCGGGGAGUAAAGGGAUGAAAA